CCAAUUGUUGUUGAAGUUUGCUUAAUCUUCUACACUUGAGAAGAUGGGAUUGCAAGAAGUUUCCCUUGGCCUAGAAGAAGAUACUCUUGUUUUCUUAACAGGAGGGGAAACAUGUUUAGUGUCCUUUUUCUUCUUUGAAGACGAAGGUUUGACGUUAGUCACUUCAGAAGCAAGAGCUUCUGUGGCUUUUAAUGAAUUUUGAAGAGAGGUUUUGUCUUUCU
rnacentral:lncRNA from 1 species